rnacentral:rRNA from 1 species
AACGAACGCUGGCGGCAGGCCUAACACAUGCAAGUCGAACGGUUCCUUCGGGGACAGUGGCAGACGGGUGAGUAACGCGUGGGAAUCUACCUUGUGGUACGGAACAACCAAGGGAAACUUUGGCUAAUACCGUAUGAGCCCUUCGGGGGAAAGGUUUAUCGCCAUAAGAUGAGCCCGCGUAGGAUUAGCUAGUUGGUGAGGUAAAGGCUCACCAAGGCGACGAUCCUUAGCUGGUCUGAGAGGAUGACCAGCCACACUGGGACUGAGACACGGCCCAGACUCCUACGGGAGGCAGCAGUGGGGAAUAUUGGACAAUGGGCGCAAGCCUGAUCCAGCCAUGCCGCGUGUGUGAUGACGGCCUUAGGGUUGUAAAGCACUUUCGCCGAUGAAGAUAAUGACUGUAGUCGGAGAGGAAGCCCCGGCUAACUUCGUGCCAGCCGCCGCGGUAA